UGGUGCUUGCAUCAUGAUUUACAUUUGAGUGAGUGGCGAACUGGUGAGUAACACGUGGGAAACCUGCCCAGAAGCGGGGGAUAACACCUGGAAACAGAUGCUAAUACCGCAUAACAACUUGGACCGCAUGGUCCGAGUUUGAAAGAUGGCUUCGGCUAUCACUUUUGGAUGGUCCCGCGGCGUAUUAGCUAGAUGGUGGGGUAACGGCUCACCAUGGCAAUGAUACGUAGCCGACCUGAGAGGGUAAUCGGCCACAUUGGGACUGAGACACGGCCCAAACUCCUACGGGAGGCAGCAGUAGGGAAUCUUCCACAAUGGACGAAAGUCUGAUGGAGCAACGCCGCGUGAGUGAAGAAGGGUUUCGGCUCGUAAAACUCUGUUGUUAAAGAAGAACAUAUCUGAGAGUAACUGUUCAGGUAUUGACGGUAUUUAACCAGAAAGCCACGGCUAACUACGUGCCAGCAGCCGCGGUAAUACGUAGGUGGCAAGCGUUGUCCGGAUUUAUUGGGCGUAAAGCGAGCGCAGGCGGUUUUUUAAGUCUGAUGUGAAAGCCUUCGGCUCAACCGAAGAAGUGCAUCGGAAACUGGGAAACUUGAGUGCAGAAGAGGACAGUGGAACUCCAUGUGUAGCGGUGAAAUGCGUAGAUAUAUGGAAGAACACCAGUGGCGAAGGCGGCUGUCUGGUCUGUAACUGACGCUGAGGCUCGAAAGUAUGGGUAGCAAACAGGAUUAGAUACCCUGGUAGUCCAUACCGUAAACGAUGAAUGCUAAGUGUUGGAGGGUUUCCGCCCUUCAGUGCUGCAGCUAACGCAUUAAGCAUUCCGCCUGGGGAGUACGGCCGCAAGGCUGAAACUCAAAGGAAUUGACGGGGGCCCGCACAAGCGGUGGAGCAUGUGGUUUAAUUCGAAGCUACGCGAAGAACCUUACCAGGUCUUGACAUACUAUGCAAAUGUAAGAGAUUAGACGUUCCCUUCGGGGACAUGGAUACAGGUGGUGCAUGGUUGUCGUCAGCUCGUGUCGUGAGAUGUUGGGUUAAGUCCCGCAACGAGCGCAACCCUUAUUAUCAGUUGCCAGCAUUAAGUUGGGCACUCUGGUGAGACUGCCGGUGACAAACCGGAGGAAGGUGGGGAUGACGUCAAAUCAUCAUGCCCCUUAUGACCUGGGCUACACACGUGCUACAAUGGAUGGUACAACGAGUUGCGAACUCGCGAGAGUAAGCUAAUCUCUUAAAGCCAUUCUCAGUUCGGAUUGUAGGCUGCAACUCGCCUACAUGAAGUCGGAAUCGCUAGUAAUCGCGGAUCAGCAUGCCGCGGUGAAUACGUUCCCGGGCCUUGUACACACCGCCCGUCACACCAUGAGAGUUUGUAACACCCAAAGUCGGUGGGGUAACCUUUUAGGAACCAGCCGCCUAAGGUGGGACAGAUG
rnacentral:rRNA from 2 species